UACGUAGGCAGCAAGCGUUGUUCGGAGUUACUGGGCGUAAAGGGCGCGUAGGCGGCUUUUUAAGUUUGGUGUGAAAUCUCCCGGCUCAACUGGGAGGGUGCGCCGAAUACUGAGAAGCUAGAGUGUGGGAGAGGAAAGUGGAAUUCCUGGUGUAGCGGUGAAAUGCGUAGAUAUCAGGAGGAACACCGGUGGUGUAAACGGCUUUCUGGACCAUAACUGACGCUGAGGCACGAAAGCGUGGGUAGCAAACAGG
rnacentral:rRNA from 1 species